AAGGCCUUUACUGACGCUAAAGCUCGAAGGUGCGGGUAUCGAACAGGAUUAGAUACCCUGGUAGUCCGCACGGUAAACGAUGGAUGCCCGCUGUUCGCGAUAGACUGUGAGCGGCCAAGAGAAAUCGUUAAGCAUCCCACCUGGGGAGUACGCCGGCAACGGUGAAACUCAAAGGAAUUGACGGGGGCCCGCACAAGCGGAGGAACAUGUGGUUUAAUUCGAUGAUACGCGAGGAACCUUACCCGGGCUUGAACUGCAGCGGAAGGAUACAGAGAUGUUGACGCCCUUCGGGGCCGCUGUGGAGGUGCUGCAUGGUUGUCGUCAGCUCGUGCCGUGAGGUGUCGGCUUAAGUGCCAUAACGAGCGCAACCCUUUUCGUCAGUUGCCAUCAGGUAAUGCUGGGCACUCUGGCGACACUGCCACCGUAAGGUGUGAGGAAGGUGGGGAUGACGUCAAAUCAGCACGGCCUGAACGUCCGGGGCUACACACGUGUUACAAUGGGGCAUACAGAAGGCUGGUAGCAUGCAAGUGCGAUCCAAUCUUAAAAGUGUCCCUCAGUUCGGAUUGGGGUCUGCAACCCGACCCACAUGAAGCUGGAUUC
rnacentral:rRNA from 1 species